CCUAAUGUUCUUCCUCCUCCUCUUUUUUCAAUUGCACGGCUCACCCUAUCUUUUCAAUUGCACGGCUCAUCAUCUUCUUCUUAUUGAGUUUGUUACACACCUACCACCUUUCUUCCCCAAUCUGUUCCAACCUUUGGGUCGUGCUUCGCCGGUUUCUUUCUUUCAAAAGUGAAUCAGUAAGAAGAAGAGUGGAAUACCUACUGAGGAGAUCUAGAGUUUCGGUGGGCUGGUUUAUGGGCUGCAAAAAAUUGAUUGUAUUGGUUGAUGCUGAAAAGAGAUAAGUUCAAAAGAGAUAGAUGACAUGCCCAAAGCAGUAUUCAUUUGCUUUCAAGAAUUGGAGGCUAGGAUAACUUCUUCCAUUGCAAGAGAUGUGCACCUGAGAAGAAGCACCGUCUCCCAUAUGCUUACAAUAGUUUCAUGAAGUUCCUUAUCUGAAUAUUCUCAGAUCAAAUAUUAAUCAGGGGGUUUAUUUCAGCUUCUGAGUUCAUGACACAUGCUGAAUAAUAAGGAUUAGAUUAAGAGAAGAAGGUGGAUGAUGGCAACAAAACAAUAGACCAAGGUAGAAGUUCUGAUUAUUCAUGUGAAAAUUAAGAUUAGAGCUGCAGAAUCUGAGUUUAGUGUCUUAUUAAUCUUUAAUCAAUUAUUUUGUGCUGGAAGGGGAGAAAAAUUUGUAUUGGAGGUGUUUGAUCCGGCAAACUAUGUUAAGAAUGGGACUACUUUCUACUUUCCUUUGAUUCUGUAGGCUGUAACUGAAGAAUAAACAGGAAGGGAAUGAUGCUGCUACUGUUGCAAAGGAGAAACACUCAACAAAGGAAAAAAAUCAUAAAAGGAAAAAGGGCUUUUCCAUGGGAGAUGUAUGAUGGAGACCAUAGUAAUAGAAGAUUUAAGGAAGAUUUUGGUUUCAUCUAUUAUAAGGCCGUGUUACAAGUAAGGUAUAUACUCUCUUUUUACAAUCUUGAUGUUGUGUUCCUGAGGAGUGAGGAAGAAUACCACUGAUAUGUAUCAACCUGAAUAGAAGUAACUGCACAACACUUAAAAACUAAUAUUAUAAGAAGUUUGAGGUGUAGAAGCUUAGAUAAAGUGAUUUGCUGAUUCUAAUGGAUUUGAUUAGAACUUUAGAUUGUGUUUAUGGUAAAAAAGAAAAGACAGGGUAUUUUUGAAUCUUUACAUUCCCACUACUUUCUUUCCACCCCAUGUGACAGUUACAACCUUUUACUUCCAAUUUCCAAACAGCUGCACCGGUUAAAAUGCACCCCUUCAUAUUCUAGCUGCUUAUUUCCAAGAAAUUUUGUUUCAAAAUUCAAAUUUAAUUGCAAUUUUUUGCUUUCUUGCCUGUCAAACAGUCCCAUUAUAAAAAUUCAAAUUAACAAAAAUCCUUUUGUUUUUGCUUCUUCUAUCUGCACAGCUCCUCUUUACAUGGCUGUUUUUGCAUACUUAAGAAAUUGCCCUUUCUAGCUGCAUAUUGCAGCUUAUCUUUUGCAGCCUAUAUUGAGCAAUAAUAUAAAUGAAAUUAUAUACAGCUAAAAAGUAGAAUGUUGAAUGUCUUGCAAGAAUGUAUAGUUGAUAAGUACUAAAGGUAUCUUGGCUGAUAUAUUUAUCCAUGUCAGAACAGUUUUGGGGAAUUAGAAGGUAUCUUGGCUGAUAUAUUUAUCUAUGUCAACGAGAAGUAAUAUUUUUUCCUUGAUUUGUUCCCUGUUGGGUUUUUAUGAAUUUUAUGUUUUGGUUUUCAUUUCAAGCUAUUACCAUUCUUACUCUUAUUUAUUUAUGAUUAGCAGUCAGUUUUAUAUUGUUGGCAUCGGUAUUAGAGCAGCAGUGGCAUCAAGUUCCGGUUGGCUUAUAAAUGAAACUCUAAGAGCCUCAAUUUCUUUAGUCUUUUUUUUUUCUUUUCUACAUAUUGAUAUAUGCAUGAAUGAUUUCUGUUAAAAUCUCAUUUACAUAAUAAAAGUCAUAUGAUCCUGGGGUACAUGUGGUCUUGGAAAUUUUUUUAGCUUUUAUCUUUCCACACCUCUUAAUUAUCUUCAGAUUGUCAAGUCUUCAUUUACAUGUUUAGGCUUUACAUAUCUCUGUAAAAAAUGGCUCCCAAUGGCGUACUUUCAUGCUGAUCUCUUUUCCCUUUUGAAUUAGUUUCUUGCUGUAAUUUUUUGACUUGAAAAUCUUUGGAUUAUGUUCUACAAUUCAAGAAGUCAUGAUAGAGGAGAAGGUUCACAUUAACAUUGUUACCAUUGGAGAUUUACCUUUAUUUUAUUCCCAUUAAAUAAUGUAUUCACUUUUAUUUGUUCA